rnacentral:rRNA from 1 species
GGACUACCGGGGUUUCUAAUCCCGUUUGCUCCCCUAGCUUUCGCGCCUCAGCGUCAGUGAAGGUCCAGUCCGUCGCUUUCGCCACCGGCGUUCCUGAUGAUAUCAACGCAUUUCACCGCUCCACCAUCAGUUCCACAGACCCCUACCUCCCUCGAGACUACCAGUAUCCAAGGCAGUUUUCCGGUUGAGCCGAAAGAUUUCACCCCGGACUUGGUAGCCCGCCUACGCGCCCUUUAAGCCCAGUGAUUCCGAACAACGUUUGGACGGUUCGUCUUACCGCGGCUGCUGGCAC